rnacentral:rRNA from 1 species
AACAUGUCUUUUUGAUAAUAAUUUAAAGUCUAACCUGCCCACUGAUUUUAUAUUUAAAGGCCGCAGUAUUUUGACUGUGCAAAGGUAGCAUAAUCAUUUGUCUUUUAAUUGAAGGCUGGAAUGAAUGGUUGAAUGAAGUAUUAACUGUCUCAUUUUAAUAAUUUAAGAAUUUAGCUUUUAAAUUAAAAGGUUUAAAUUAAAUUAAAAGACGAGAAGACCCUAUAGAUUUUUAUAAUAAAUUUAUUUAUAUUUUAAAGAAUAUUAUUUAAUAUAAUUAUAAAUAUUAUUUAAUUGGGGUGAUUGGAAAAUUUAAUUAACUUUUUUUAUUUUAUAACAUUGAUUAAUGAAUAAUUGAUCCAAUAUUAUUGAUUAUAAGAUUAAAUUACCUUAGGGAUAACAGCGUAAUUUUUUUAGAGAGUUCUUAUCGAUAAAAAAGAUUGCGACCUCGAUGUUGAAUUAAAGAUUAUUUUUAAAUGUAGAAGUUUAAAGUUUAGGUCUGUUCGACCUUUGAAUCUUUACAUGAUCUGA